GAUGAACGCUGGCGGCGUGCCUAAUACAUGCAAGUCGAGCGAACGGACGAGAAGCUGGCUUCUCUGAGGUUAGCGGCGGACGGGUGAGUAACACGUGGAUAACCUACCUAUAAGACUGGGAUAACUUCGGGAAACCGUAGCUAAGACCGGAUAAUAUUUUGAACCGCAUGGUUCAAAAGUGAAAGACGGUCGUGCUGUCACUUAUAGAUGGAUCCGCGCUGCAUUAGCUAGUUGGUAAGGUAACGGCUUACCAAGGCAACGAUGCAUAGCCGACCUGAGAGGGUGAUCGGCCACCCUGGAACUGAGACACGGUCCCGACUCCUACGGGAGGCCGCAGUAGGGAAUCUUCCGCAAUGGGCGAAAGCCUGACGGAGCAACGCCGCGUGAGUGAUGAAGGUCUUCGGCUCGUAAAACUCUGUUAUUAGGGAAGAACAUAUGUGUAAGUAACUGUGCACAUCUUGACGGUACCUAAUCAGAAAGCCACGGCUAACUACGUG
rnacentral:rRNA from 1 species